UGCCUUGAUGAUAAUGGACUGGACCUCUGAACCUGUCCCAGUCUGGACACCUUAACCCUUGGGAUCAGUCUUCACUGCUCAGUGAAGCCUUUCUGGAAAUGCCAUCAAAGGCCAUGCAGAGGCGUCUCUGAAGAGGAAGACAAAGAAAGAGGAGGGAACAAAAGGACUUUUGCCUGAACUACCUCCAGUUGUAAAAUCGUUCCCAGGGUUGUCUAACAUCCAGAGAUAAGAAAACGAGGCCCAGGAGAGUUUAAGCCAUUUGCCGGAAGUCACAGUUCGCCAGGGAUGGGUUGGAACACCAAAGCCAGGGACAGAGUCUCACUCUGUGGUUCAUGCUGGCCUGGAACGUGCCAUCUAGCUCAAGCUGGCCUUAAACUCACGACUCUCCAGCCUCCCUUUUGAAAUGCAAGGCUCUCCUGCGCUCUGCAGAUGCCCUAAGCCAAUUAGGCAGGUAGGACAGCCGCGGCCAGCUUGGAGGCGACUGAAAUGUGAUUCCCUGACUGGGUGAGAGACUGGGUCCAGUUCCUUCUCCUGGGAGAUCCUCUCUUGGGCACUGUUUUUUUUUUUUUUUUUAACCCUCAGACGUACUUUAUCGGGAGCUGGGGCUGAGAGGCCUCCUCAGUCCUACAGGCUGUGAUGAGCAGGCGACUUCCUUCUGUAGGAGGGAGGAGAGGUGUCUCAUUACUUCCCUUUCUUCUCCGGAUAGCUCGGGCUGCCUCCUGCAGAGAGGAAAACCCAGAUCUAAGGGACGUUUUCGGACUCCAGGCAGUUACCAGUCCUUCAGCAGCCUCUAGCUCCCCCUAAGGUUUGUCUCUGCUAAUUGCCGCAGUCUUAGUGAUGUAAAAGUCGCGGGAGAGGAGGGGGUGCAGUGCGAGGGGGGUGCGGCUAGUCUACUUGCUUUUUCCUGGAGUUCUCUUUUUACCCCAAGUUUGUCUUUCGCCUAUAUUACUCAUCGAUUUCUACGCCGAAAGCAAACUACCAGGUUCUCAAUGGAGGCACAGACAAGUACCAUUUUUGAAGCGGUCUAAAAACAGGAGUAUGGCUUUUGAGAAGAGCUAAAAGAGGACCUAGAAGAAAUGCCACGUUCUUGGUACAAAGAGGUAGUUUGUGGUAAGAAGCUUAACAGGAAUUUCAAGGUGUACAGAAACAUCGAAAGCAGGUUAUUCAAAUGCAGCUCCAAGAAGUUAGCGGAACCUGGGCAUAGUGGUACAUGUUUAUGACCCCAACAUAGAAGAGGUGGAGGCAGGGGGAUCCGGAGUUUAAGGUCAUUCUCCACCACAGAGCAAGUUGGAAGACUACCUGGGCUCCACGAGACUAGGUUCUAGGUGCUCCCAACCCCCAACAGGAGAAGAAGGCAGGAGCAUAAAUUCAAGCAAAUCAAAGAACUCUUAACGUAGAAAAGGCAGUUCCAUGAUCGACUCUGUUACCAAAGACUUAACAUGUCCACCACAGUGUUAUUUAUUGUGGCAAAUUUUUUUGGAAGUAGUUUUAUUGUCUGAUAACUAAAUGAUAAAUAAAUUAUGAUACAAUGAAGUUGAGUAACUGU
rnacentral:sRNA from 1 species